AGAAGCAAUACCGCGAGGUGGAGCAAAACUUCAAAAAUGGUCUCAGUUCUGACUGUAGGCUGCAACUCGCCUACACGAAGUUGGAAUUGCUAGUAAUCGUGGAUCAGCAUGCCACGGUGAAUACGUUCCCGGGUCUUGUACACACCGCCCGUCACACCAUGGGAGCUGGUAACACCCGAAGUCAGUAGUCUAACCGCAAGGAGGACGCUGCCGAAGGUGGGAUUAGCGACUGGGGUGAAGUCGUAACAAGGUAGC
rnacentral:rRNA from 1 species